rnacentral:rRNA from 1 species
GACGAACGCUGGCGGCGCGCCUAACACAUGCAAGUCGAACGGAGUUGUGUUGAAAGCUUGCUGGAUAUACAACUUAGUGGCGGACGGGUGAGUAACACGUGAGUAACCUGCCUCUCAGAGUGGAAUAACGUUUGGAAACGAACGCUAAUACCGCAUAACGUGAGAAGAGGGCAUCCUCUUUUUACCAAAGAUUUAUCGCUGAGAGAUGGGCUCGCGGCCGAUUAGGUAGUUGGUGAGAUAACAGCCCACCAAGCCGACGAUCGGUAGCCGGACUGAGAGGUUGAUCGGCCACAUUGGGACUGAGACACGGCCCAGACUCCUACGGGAGGCAGCAGUGGGGGAUAUUGCACAAUGGGGGAAACCCUGAUGCAGCGACGCCGCGUGAGGGAAGACGGUUUUCGGAUUGUAAACCUCUGUCUUUAGGGGCGAAAAAAUGACGGUAC